rnacentral:rRNA from 1 species
GACGAACGCUGGCGGCGCGCCUAACACAUGCAAGUCGAACGGAGUUGUGUUGAAAGCUUGCUGGAUAUACAACUUAGUGGCGGACGGGUGAGUAACACGUGAGUAACCUGCCUCUCAGAGUGGAAUAACGUUUGGAAACGAACGCUAAUACCGCAUAACGUGAGAAGAGGGCAUCCUCUUUUUACCAAAGAUUUAUCGCUCUGAGAUGGCCUCGCGUCUGAUUAGCUAGUUGGCGGGGUAACGGCCCACCAAGGCGACGAUCAGUAGCCGGACUGAGAGGUUGGCCGGCCACAUUGGGACUGAGACACGGCCCAG